GAUGAAGAACGUAGCGAAAUGCGAUAAGUAAUGUGAAUUGCAGAAUUCAGUGAAUCAUCGAAUCUUUGAACGCACAUUGCGCCCGCCAGUAUUCUGGUGGGCAUGCCUGUUCGAGCGUCAUUUCAACCCUCAAGCCCAGCUUGGUGUUGGGGAUCGGCACAGGCGCCCUCGGGCGCCAGCCGUCCCCUAAAUCUAGUGGCGGUCCCGCUGCAGCCUCCUCUGCGUAGUAGUUUUCUCCUCGCAAGGGCAGCUCGGUGGCGACCUCGCCGUAAAACCCCCAACUUCUGAAAGGUUGACCUCGAAUCAGGUAGGAAUACCCGCUGAACUUAAGCAUAUCAAUAAGCGGAGGA
rnacentral:misc_RNA from 1 species